rnacentral:rRNA from 1 species
GACGAACGCUGGCGGCGUGCUUAACACAUGCAAGUCGAACGGAAAGGCCCUGCUUUUGUGGGGUGCUCGAGUGGCGAACGGGUGAGUAACACGUGAGUAACCUGCCCUUGACUUUGGGAUAACUUCAGGAAACUGGGGCUAAUACCGGAUAGGAGCUCCUGCUGCAUGGUGGGGGUUGGAAAGUUUCGGCGGUUGGGGAUGGACUCGCGGCUUAUCAGCUUGUUGGUGGGGUAGUGGCUUACCAAGGCUUUGACGGGUAGCCGGCCUGAGAGGGUGACCGGCCACAUUGGGACUGAGCUACGGCCCAGACUCCUACGGGAGGCAGAAGUGGGGAAUAUUGCACAAUGGGCGGAAGCCUGAUGCAGCAACGCCGCGUGCGGGAUGACGGCCUUCGGUUUGUAAACCGCUUUCGCCUGUGACGAAGCGUGAGUGACGGUAAUGGGUAAAGAAGCACCGGCUAACUACGUG